UAGGCAAACAUGUAGAUAAGAAGAGAGACAUUUGCAUAUGGACAGCUGGACCAUUUAUACACACAGUUAUCACUUGGCAAUUCUCGGAUAACAACAACCAUCACUCGACGAUUUCUCUGCAAAGGAAACAUCCACCGAAGCUGUUUUGCAUCCGGACAUCCACCGACAGAUAGCCCACUGAUAAAGUGACAGAAGUGCUUUCAUCCUGGAAGAUGUGAGAUUUCAUCUUACAUGGUUCAGGUUCAUGGUGUCCUGCCAAAAAUAUUGACUGUGCGAUCUGCUGGAAUGUGAUGAGUUCAGCGUGGAAACUUCCCUGUGGUCACCUCUUCCACAGCUUGUGUAUGCAGUCCUGGCUCAAGCAGGACACCAUCACGUCAUGUCCAACAUGUCCGACAUGUCCGACAUCUUGAAGUGUAUCAUCACAUUCAUAAUGAGGUCACUUACAAAAAGAAAGAAGACUUGGUCUGUAGCCACACUAGCAGCCCUGUAAUGUUCAUAGAAAACAGAAUUGUCAGAUAAAUGAAUAUAGAGACACAACUUUGUUAUUCUCAUCUUUACUACUAGUGUGUCAUAAAAUAAAGUUUGCCCUAAGGGGAAAUCAGAGGAAAGGUGGUGUUACUGUAAUCAAAAGGGAUCCUACAGUAGUCAUGUUAGGAGGUGGUGGAAGAA